rnacentral:rRNA from 1 species
UACGAAGGGGGCUAGCGUUGCUCGGAAUCACUGGGCGUAAAGGGCGCGUAGGCGGGCUGCCAAGUUUGGGGUGAAAUCCUCCGGCUCAACCGGGGAAGGGCCUCGAAUACUGGCGGUCUGGAGGGAGGUAGGGGCGUGCGGAACUGUAGGUGGAGCGGUGAAAUGCGUUGAUAUCUACAGGAACUCCGGUGGCGAAGGCGGCACGCUGGACCUUUUCUGACGCUGAGGCGCGAAAGCCAGGGGAGCGAACGGG